AGCUGUUUCGGGCACAUUUGUUCUCCAGCCCAGACUCCCACCUGCUGUCCCUCUUCAAGCUGGACCCACAAACCGUGGAGACCAAGAACUGGCACACGGACGUGAUUGAGAUGAACGGGAUCAAAGUGGAAUUUUCCAUGAAAUUCACCAGCCGAGAUAUGAGCCUGAAGAGGACCCCGUCCAAAAAGCAGACCGGCGUCUUCGGUGUGAAGAUCAGCGUGGUGACGAAGCGGGAGCGCUCCAAGGUGCCCUACAUCGUCCGGCAGUGUGUGGAGGAGGUGGAGAAGAGGGGUAUCGAGGAGGUUGGCAUCUACAGGAUAUCGGGCGUGGCCACGGACAUCCAGGCGCUCAAGGCCGUCUUCGAUGCCAAUAACAAGGACAUCCUGCUGAUGCUGAGUGACAUGGACAUCAACGCCAUCGCCGGGACGCUCAAGCUGUACUUCCGGGAACUGCCCGAGCCGCUCCUCACGGACCGACUCUACCCAGCCUUCAUGGAGGGCAUCGCCCUGUCAGACCCUGCUGCCAAGGAAAACUGCAUGAUGCACCUGCUC
rnacentral:misc_RNA from 1 species